AUGCUAGUCCGGUCCAUUUCCUCUGUGCCACAACGGGAACUCCUUUCCCUUAUUUUUCAUAUGGUCAAAACUGCCUCUUUUCCUUGUACAAUUUCUUCUAUUCCUCUAGAGCUUGGAAAGCCUGUCUCCCUCCCGAGAACUGAUAAUGGAAGUGCCUUGGUGACCCGUGUCCUGCCCUCUGCCUGGACGCACCCUCUUCCUCUGGGCCCUGAGAUGAGGAUGUGACGCCUGUGACCCCCCCAGGGAGGAAUCCCCCAGCCCCGGCCUCUCAGACGUGCCAGGGCAUGGGCGGGCCCUGAGCCAGAGGUAAGGGGUGCCCUUGCUCCCCAGCGGGGGGCGGGGCCAGCUCACAGCGACCUGAGAUGCAGGUAUGCUGGGUCGUGGGUCCGGCCUGGGAGGGGUGGGGUUGGAUUCGGUUGUCCUGCAAAAACUAACAUCCCUCGGGGUCUGACUCCCGUUCAGAGGUGCUGCCAACCCGUGGGGAGAAGGGGCUGAGGCCGCAGGGCUCCCUGGGGUUCCACAAGGGGACCGACGGGUGGGGCGUAGGGCCGGCCGUGGUCUAAGUAGGUGGUGGCCGUGCUCAGGCCUGUCCAUCCUCUCCCCAUGCGUCGGGGUUGCUCGGGCGUUGAAGGCGAUUUCGUCUUUUUGGGAAUAGAUACGGUGUCUAUCACCGAAUUUACAGAAAGCGCCACAUCUACGGCCUGGCAGUGUUAACAUUGAUGCGUGUGUGUUUGAAGACAAGACUCGUCUGUGGAAAAAAAUAUCUCAGAUGCCGAAUUGAACACCCAGGGGCAUGAGGAGGGUGGAGACUCCCCAGUGGCCAGGUGUUCAGUGACCAGCUGGCCUGUGUCUGCUGGGAGUCUAACCAUCAGCGGGAAAGUGGCCAGCCAGGCUGUACGUUCAGAGGUCACAGAUGUGCCCUGUUUGGUUGAUAGCAGCUCGGGUUUCUCCAGGGCCACAGCCACGUCACGGCAUCUGGGGCUCUGACUCAGCAGUUCUCACACUUGGCUCCAGCAGGUGCUGCUAGGUGGGCAGUUCCUUGGCAGAUCGAGCUGGGUUGUGAUACUUGGCUUGACCAGCAGGAGGUGCUGUUGGUAAGCCACACCCUACAUGGAAAAGUGGAUUUUCGCGUUGGGGUUUUUUUGCAAGAGAUGGUUGCCUGCUGUAUUGGGGUGUUAACGAACGCUGUGGGGUGAGUUUAUUUAUUUGUUUAGGUAUUUCCUCUUCCUCACUGAAAUUUUUUCCCUUAACGUAUCGUUAACGUGCAGCGUUGGCUGAGCUCGUCUCACGUGGUCUCCAUGCUGGUGCUUUGCCGACUCUAAGAACUGUGACGGGAGGUGUUUGGGAAUUCGUGAGGCUUCCUCCUUCCGCACUUGGCUCCCCAGACUUCUCUGCAGCUUCAGAGCGAGGCUUCUGGGAGGUGAUGCCGGGAGAGCUGGGGACACAGAGGAGCAGCUGGGGCUCAGGGCCGAGGGAGCAGCCGGAGGGAGAGCCCUGAGAGUGGGGCCGGCUUCGCGCAGGCGGGGAGCUGGAACUGGGGCCAGGGUUGGAGAACCGGGUAGGGACCUGGUCUCAGGUUAAGC
rnacentral:lncRNA from 9 species